rnacentral:rRNA from 1 species
CCUACGGGAGGCAGCAGUGGGGAAUAUUGGGCAAUGGAGGCAACUCUGACCCAGCAACGCCGCGUGAAUGAUGAAGGUCUUCGGAUUGUAAAGUUCUUUUCUAAGGGAAGAAGAAAGUGACGGUACCUUAGGAAUAAGCCUCGGCUAACUACGUGCCAGCAGCCGCGGUAAUACGUAGGAGGCAAGCGUUAUCCGGAAUGACUGGGCGUAAAGGGUGCGUAGGUGGUUCAGCAAGUUAGUAGCGUAACUCCGGGGCUCAACCUCGGCACUACUACUAAAACUGUUGGACUUGAGUGCAGGAGGGGCAACUGGAAUUCCUAGUGUAGCGGUGGAAUGCGUAGAUAUUAGGAGGAACACCAGUGGCGAAGGCGGCUUACUGGACCGUAACUGACGUUGAGGCUCGAAAGCGUGGGGAGCAAACAGGAUUAGAUACCCUGGUAGUC